AUGACUCGAUCUUCGCGUCUUCGAUGUGUCAUUGAAGAUAGCGUAAAGGAAAAUAAUGAUAUUACUUUACUAUUAGUGUCGUCCAAAUACUCGUGCCAGAAGACUCGGUAAGGCGAGAGACGCAAACGUUAUUCGUCUUGAUCAGGCGUAAAGGGUGUGUAGGCUGCUUUAAGUAUAUUAUAUUAAGUUUACCUUCAUAUCUUUAGAAAAGUUGACCAGUUUUAUUUUUCUAAAUUUAGAUUUAUCUAAAAUUAGAAAAAGUUUAUAGCUUCUAUAAGCAGAAGUUUAAGGCUCUGUAGGCUUUUUAUAAAUUUAUGUAGUUAAUAUAUAUCAAUUAAAGCUAGAAUCUAAAGGAGGUUAAAACAAUACUUAAGGUAGGAGUACUAACCGUAAAUAAUAAGUAGAGUGUUAAUGGCGAAGGCAUUUAUCCACUAAAGAUUGACGCUGAGAAACGAAAGUGAGGGCAGAAAAAAGGAUUAGAGACCCUUGUAUUCCUCACUGUCAACGAUGAAUGGUAGUUACUAGUUAGGAAUUAACUAGAGGCGAUGUUAACACGUAAACCAUUCCGCCUUGUGAGUACAACUGCAAAGUUGAAAACAAAAAAAUUAGUCGGUUUCGGAGCAAACGAAGUGAAGCAUGUUAUUUAUUAAAAA
rnacentral:rRNA from 1 species